rnacentral:rRNA from 1 species
CUUAUUAAAAUUCAAACUAAAAUAUUAAUAGUUAUGAUCUUAAAAUUUAGAGAAUUUGGCGGUGUUUUAGUCUGUUUAGAGGAACCUGUUUCGUAAAUGAUAAACCUCAAAGUAUCUUACUUAUUUUUAUAGUUUGUAUACCGUCAUUAUUAGAUAAUUUUUAUAGAAAUAAAUUAUUAUAAUAAGUUUUAUUUAGUAUAUUAGAUCAAGGUGCAGCUUAUGAAUAAGUGAAAAUGGGUUACAGUAAAAUUUAUUUAAAACGGAGUGGGUUUUGAAAUGAGCCAUGAAGGUGGAUUUAAUUGUAAUAUAAGUUUAAUAAGCUUAUAUGAUAUUAGCUCUAAAUUAUGUACACAUCGCCCGUCGCUCUUAA